ensembl:lncRNA
AGCAUCUCCUGAUCAGUGUUAGCAGAGCACUGCGAAGCGCACUGUGCAGAGCUCUCAUGACUGCACGAAGGAAUUUAUGCAUGCAACUCUCAAACGGCUUUGAUAUAUAACCCCGCAGAAUCAGCUACGAGCAUUGGGGAAAACAGAAGAAUGGCAUUGUGUAAAAUACUAAACUGAAUUUUUCAGAAGAAAUUGUUUUGCUCCGAGAAGCUCACAAGAUAUACAAAUCCCUUGUCAGAGGUGGAUGUUGGUGUAUGGCUGCAGAGGCUGAACCUUCCCACCAAUAUUCUGUUAUGUUUUAUUGCUGUACAACAGAUGGCAACAGAGCAGUGGUCUGACAAAAUGGAGUCUGACAUGGAAGGGCGAAUGAAGAAAAGUAGUUCAACACCAAAACCAAAAUCUCAAAUUCAGAAGAACAGCUCCAUAUAAGGAAUGGGAUUCUGCAUCAGAUUUUACAACACAGGACACCUGCAGUUACGAGAGUAGCACUUUCAUUUCUGUAAAAGCUUCCAUAGGAGAGAUUCAAAAUCCUUCAACAAAUUAAGGCAUGCAAAACACUCCAGAGGUGAGGAGAUAUCACUGCAUGCACUUUAUAAAUAGGAUGAAGGUACGCAGGGAUUUAUUAAUUUUCCCUGGAUCAGG